UUUGCUUGUGGGCUGCCGCCCGCCGUUACCUCUCCACCGCGGCUAGAAGACAGCCAACUGGAGGCAGAGCGGUGGACAGAAUCUCCGUCUAUUUCACAACAGAUGCAUUCAACAAUUCACCGAAGUCUGGCCUCUAGCGCGGGAUGAACUCGGUUGGGGUGUCACUCGACGCCCACUAGGGGCUGAGGCGGUUCCAGUGCGCAGGCUCCGAGCACCGGAUAAAAGCGGAGCUGGCGAGUCUAGCGCCGUCUCGAUGGAGGAGCGAGAAACGGAAGAGGUCGGGGGGAGAAGCAGCAGGAAAAAUACAGCCACCGUCAGCGCCGCCUCCCUGCCACCGUGUAUCGGGGCCACCCUCCCACUCAUCAAUCCCCAUCAGCACGCUCUCUGGCCCCUGACUGCAGUGAUGCAAGAAAACAGUGAGAUAGGAAGCUACACACCAGUUACCAGCCCUUCGAUAUUCUCUAAUGCCUUUUUACACCAACCAGAAAGAAUGUGAGCUCCAGGCCAUCAGCACCUCCUUGUCUUGCUCAUGAGUGCACCGCCAGCUCCCAGUCCUGAGCCUGAUGGCAGGUGAUCAACAAAUACUUGCUGAACGAAUGGAAGAAUUAAGAAACAGAAGAGCAUCUCCCUCUCCCCUGCCAAUAAUCCACUAGAUAGGGAACAGAUUUCUGGUUCUUAGAAAGGCUUCUCGGGCUUCCCUGGUGGCGCAGUGGUUGAGAAGCUGCCUGCCAAUGCAGGGGACAACGGUUCGAGCCCUGGUCUGGGAGGAUCCCACAUGCCGCGGAGCAGCUAGGCCCAUGAGCCACAAUUACUGAGCCUGCGCGUCUGGAGCCUGUGCUCCUCAACAAGAGAGGCCGCGAUAGUGAGAGGCCCGUGCACCGCGAUAAAGAGUGGCCCCCGCUUGCCGCAACUGGAGAAAGCCCUCACACAGAAACGAAGACCCAACACAGCCAUAAAUGAAUAAAUAAAUAAAUAAAUAAAAAUAAA